UACGUAGGGUGCGAGCGUUGUCCGGAAUUACUGGGCGUAAAGAGCUCGUAGGUGGUUUGUCGCGUUGUUCGUGAAAACUCACAGCUUAACUGUGGGCGUGCGGGCGAUACGGGCAGACUGGAGUACUGCAGGGGGAGACUGGAAUUCCUGGUGUAGCGGUGGAAUGCGCAGAUAUCAGGAGGAACACCGGUGGCGAAGGCGGCAUCCUGGACCGGCAUUGACGCUGGAGGAGCGAAAGCCAGGGGAGCAAACGGG
rnacentral:rRNA from 1 species